CGCGAAUGGCUCAUUACAACAGCUAUAAUUUACUUGAUCUUGACACAAUCCUACUUGGAUAACUGUGGUAAUUCUAGAGCUAAUACAUGCAUUAAAGCUCUGACCUCACGGGAAGAGUGCAUUUAUUAGAACAAAACCAAGCGGCUUCGGCUGUUUCUGGUUGACUCAUAGUAACUGAGCUGAUCGCAUGGUCUUGCACCGGCGACGUGUCUUUCAAGUAUCUGCCGUAUCAACUUUCGAUGGUAGUGUAUCUGACUACCAUGGUGAUCACGCGUAACGGAGAAUAAGGGUUCGACUCCGGAGAGUUCGCCUGAGAAAUCGCGAACACAUCUAAGGAAGGCAGCAGGCGCGAAAAUUACCCACUCUCAGCACGAGGAGGUAGUGACGAAAAAUAACGAGACCGUUCUCUUUCGAGGCCGGUCAUCGGAAUGGGUACAAUUUAAACCCUUUAACGAGUAUCUAUGAGAGGGCAAGUCUGGUGCCAGCAGCCGCGGUAAUUCCAGCU
rnacentral:rRNA from 1 species